GUUGGGUAGGGGAGCGUUCUGUAAGCCUGCGAAGGUGGCCUGUGAGGGUUGCUGGAGGUAUCAGAAGUGCGAAUGCUGACAUAAGUAACGAUAAAGCGGGUGAAAAGCCCGCUCGCCGGAAGACCAAGGGUUCCUGUCCAACGUUAAUCGGGGCAGGGUGAGUCGACCCCUAAGGCGAGGCCGAAAGGCGUAGUCGAUGGGAAACGGGUUAAUAUUCCCGUACUUGGUGUUACUGCGAAGGGGGGACGGAGAAGGCUAUGUUGGCCGGGCGACGGUUGUCCCGGUUUAAGCGUGUAGGUGUGUGUUCCAGGUAAAUCCGGUUCACUUUAACACUGAGGCGUGACGACGAGGCACUACGGUGCUGAAGCAACAAAUGCCCUGCUUCCAGGAAAAGCCUCUAAGCAUCAGGUAACAUCAAAUCGUACCCCAAACCGACACAGGUGGUCAGGUAGAGAAUACCAAGGCGCUUGAGAGAACUCGGGUGAAGGAACUAGGCAAAAUGGUGCCGUAACUUCGGGAGAAGGCACGCUGACACGUAGGUGAAGUGAUUUACUCAUGGAGCUGAAGUCAGUCGAAGAUACCAGCUGGCUGCAACUGUUUAUUAAAAACACAGCACUGUGCAAACACGAAAGUGGACGUAUACGGUGUGACGCCUGCCCGGUGCCGGAAGGUUAAUUGAUGGGGUCAGCGCAAGCGAAGCUCCUGAUCGAAGCCCCGGUAAACGGCGGCCGUAACUAUAACGGUCCUAAGGUAGCGAAAUUCCUUGUCGGGUAAGUUCCGACCUGCACGAAUGGCGUAAUGAUGGCCAGGCUGUCUCCACCCGAGACUCAGUGAAAUUGAACUCGCUGUGAAGAUGCAGUGUACCCGCGGCAAGACGGAAAGACCCCGUGAACCUUUACUAUAGCUUGACACUGAACAUUGAGCCUUGAUGUGUAGGAUAGGUGGGAGGCUUUGAAGUGUGGACGCCAGUCUGCAUGGAGCCGACCUUGAAAUACCACCCUUUAAUGUUUGAUGUUCUAACGUGGACCCGUAAUCCGGGUUGCGGACAGUGUCUGG
rnacentral:rRNA from 1 species